rnacentral:rRNA from 1 species
ACGCUCGACACCUACGGAGGCAGCAGUGGGGAAUAUUGCACAAUGGGGGAAACCCGUGAUGCAGCAACGCCGCGUGAAGGAAGACGGUUUUCGGAUUGUAAACUUCUGUUCUUAGUGAAGAUAGUGACGGUAGCUAAGGAGCAAGCCACGGCUAACUACGUGCCAGCAGCCGGCGGUAAUCUGAGCGGGCUGGCAAGGC